AGUUGGAGACAUUGCAAAGUGGACCUAGGACUCUAGCAGAACUGGCUGAUCCCUUGUGUCUUAUUCAUACCCUGCAAUUCCUGUGAGUUCUGAGGAUGACCAGAAAAAAUGUUCCCAGCCCAUGAGAAGAAGAUGAUGCAUGGACACAGACCCAGGGUUGUGCUGCAACCUGAGCCACCCUGAGCCACUUUGCCCUGGAGAACCCAGCAAAACUAUACCUAGAUUCUCGACUCGGGAAAAUUGAAAAUUGGUGAGAUCAAGUGAAAUGAAAUGAUGUGUUGCUGACCAAGAAAGGUCUUUAUCCAUCUGGAGAAAGUUUUUGCUCCACAAUAGAGAACACCUUCUGAGGAUCUCCCACAUGGAGGAGGUCAGCCCUAACUACCAAGAAUGGCAUUCAAAUGUGGCGGCGAAUUUCACGUCCCAGACACCAUCACUUCAAAUUCAUUCAUUCAUUCUACAAAUAUUGAGGUGCCUUGGGGAUGGAGCAGAGAAUAACAAAAUGAAGUCUCUGCUCUUUUUAACUAAGUUUUCAUUACAGCAAGA